rnacentral:misc_RNA from 1 species
GAAAAAGAAUAUAAUUGUCAUUGGUUGCUGCAAGUAGAUUUCUGAUAUGAUUCAGAACUUCACACAAGUGUUGCAUUUGAUAAGCGAAAGUUUGUUUCCCAGAAUUCCAUGGGACCAACAAUUUCUGUACCCCGCUUUGUAAUAUCCAAGAAAUGCUGCGAUAAGAGAGGAUUAGGAAAGUAAUAGUGUAGCUUCAGUUCCACCAACG